UACGAAGGGGACUAGCGUUGUUCGGAAUUACUGGGCGUAAAGCGCACGUAGGCGGAUUUGUAAGUCAGGGGUGAAAUCCCGGGGCUCAACCUCGGAACUGCCUUUGAUACUGCAAAUCUCGAGUCCGAUAGAGGUGGGUGGAAUUCCUAGUGUAGAGGUGAAAUUCGUAGAUAUUAGGAAGAACACCAGUGGCGAAGGCGGCUCACUGGUCCGGUACUGACGCUGAGGUGCGAAAGCGUGGGGAGCAAACAGG
rnacentral:rRNA from 1 species